rnacentral:ncRNA from 1 species
GCUCUCUGGAGAAUCCCGGCAAACGGGUGCCGAAGGUGAAAGGAAGCGUCUCUUCCUGUAUGAUACACAUGGAAGGGACUUCUGAAUCUCUCAGGCAAAAGGACAGUGAA